rnacentral:rRNA from 1 species
GACGAACGCUGGCGGCGUGCUUAACACAUGCAAGUCGAACGGAGUUACGUAUGAAGUAUUUCGGUACGGACUACAUAACUUAGUGGCGAACGGGUGAGUAACACGUGGGCAACCUGCCCUUAACCGGGGGAUAACAUUGUGAAAACAGUGCUAAUACCGCAUAACAGAGUAUCGGGCAUCCGAUAUUUUUAAAAGGAGCAAUCCGGUUUAGGAUGGGCCCGCGUCCAAUUAGCUAGUUGGUGAGGUAACGGCUCACCAAGGCUACGAUUGGUAGCCGAACUGAGAGGUUGAUCGGCCACAUUGGGACUGAGACACGGCCCAGACUCCUACGGGAGGCAGCAGUGGGGAAUAUUGGGCAAUGGGCGAAAGCCUGACCCAGCGACGCCGCGUGAAGGAUGAAGGUCUUCGGAUUGUAAACUUCUUUGAUCAGGGAAGAAAGAAAUGACGGUACCUGAAGAACAAGCCACGGCUAACUACGUGCCAGCAGCCGGGUAAGUCACGUCG